rnacentral:rRNA from 1 species
UAGGGAAUCUUCCGCAAUGGACGCAAGUCUGACGGAGCAACGCCGCGUGAGUGAAGAAGGAUUUCGGUUCGUAAAACUCUGUUGUUAGAGAAGAACAGCGCAUAGAGUAACUGUUAUGCGUGUGACGGUAUCUAACCAGAAAGCCACGGCUAACUACGUGCCAGCAGCCGCGGUAAUACGUAGGUGGCAAGCGUUGGCCGGAUUUAUUGGGCGUAAAGCGAGCGCAGGCGGUCAAUUAAGUCUGAUGUGAAAGCCCCCGGCUCAACCGGGGAGGGUCAUUGGAAACUGGUUGACUUGAGUGCAGAAGAGGAGAGUGGAAUUCCAUGUGUAGCGGUGAAAUGCGUAGAUAUAUGGAGGAACACCAGUGGCGAAGGCGACUCUCUGGUCUGUAACUGACGCUGAGGCUCGAAAGCGUGGGUAGCAAACAGG